rnacentral:lncRNA from 1 species
AGACCAUUGCUUUAAAGACGGGAUGGGAUCUUUCCUUCUGAUCCUAAGCUGUGAACUCAUGGUCAAAUGGCUUCCGAGGUGGGCUUUCCCUUCUCUAUGGUAGCAUGGUCUUCUCCUAGGGUUUCUUUUGGUGGAGGAAAGGCUACUAGAAGCCUAGAAGGAAAAUAAGUCUGGGCUGGGGAACGAAGUGACUUACGGGAUUAAAUUAAGCGAGGGUUUUUACCUCGUACCAAGGACAGGUAAUGGCAAUGAAACUCGGGCCUGCUAUUGCUUUUCAACUUCCUAUGAAAGUGAACCGGGCGUAGCGAACAGAUCUUUCUCUUCCUAGUGCUGAGGAAGAAGAAGUAGCGAUAUGCCGCAAAUCGUCUGUUAACAUAUUCUUUCUCUUUCUCGAUAGCCAGCUUUUCAUAGCGUAAUUUCGUACCUUUACUAUGGAAUGUCAUUUUAUUCCCUAGAAGACAGAAGCAAUCGGUUUAUGACCUCUAGCUCAUCUCAGAUGCGGCCGGUGGAUGCGGAAUUACCGGUCUUUUUUAGGGGGCGAAGGCGUUCAUAAGAGAAGCAAGAUCGUAGCUUAGAAAGUCUUGCUGACUAUCUCCUCUAUCUAAGUAAGAGGAGGUUGAAGCUUAUAGGUAGUAGCCUAAGCGCUAAGAAGCUCCAAUCAUGCUACUUCAGCUAUAUGCUUAACACAUGCAAGUCGAACGUUGUUUUCGGGGAGCACCCCAAGCAACCUUCCUAUAGGUCAUAUCCCAGGCUUUUCUCUUCAUCUUUUGAAAAUGCUCUGACCCCGCCUACCUUAAAAUAGAGGGUGGCCCUUCUGGAGUAAGAAGAUCGAAAGGAAUAACAACUAGUCACGAUUAGGGACCCAUCCACAGCUAGGUUAUUUAUUUCCUAUACAUACCCUCCUCAAGCUUAUCGACUGGGCUGGGCCUAUUCGCGUGCGAGCCCACGUCAGGUUUUCCAAUGACUUAGCUUGACCUUGUCCUCUGGUUGGUUGGCCGGCUGAAUCAUCUCUUCGACCGUAGUGGGAACGCUUUUGUCUGGCUGUUAGAAACAUAUGAAAGACCGGCCUAUACCAGUUCGUAUCAGGGCCUUUUCUUCUGUUCGUGGGAACAUGUAACCUUCAAAAUAAUAACCUGUAGCUACGGCCGUCCCUGAACUCUUGCGGAAUUGCCCAUGGGCAUGAGCACUAUGUAUGGGCGAUCCCUCCCUAUAUGGAUACCAGAUAUGUGUGCCUACGAAAUGACCAGGGAAUAAACUGAUCGAGGCAAGGCCCGAUACGAACUAACAAACGAAUAUACCAGCAGCAGCCGUAGCACCAGUAAAAAAAGUAGUAGUUGGAGUUUCGCCAGCUUUCCUGAUUCAAGUUAUCCCAGGAAGAGGGCAAGAGGGAUUAGGCCUUGCUCGGGCUUCUUACCCAGCAUAUUGGAAGAAAAAAUCACCUGCCUCACAACCAGCGGAAUGAGGAUGAGGCGAGAAUUUCUUAUCGAUUCCGCNNN